GAUGAACGCUAGCUACAGGCUUAACACAUGCAAGUCGAGGGGAAACGACAUCGAAAGCUUGCUUUUGAUGGGCGUCGACCGGCGCACGGGUGAGUAACGCGUAUCCAACCUGCCCAUCACUUGGGAAUAACCUUGCGAAAGUAAGACUAAUACCCAAUGACAUCCCACGAAGACAUCUGAAUGGGAUUAAAGAUUUAUCGGUGAUGGAUGGGGAUGCGUCUGAUUAGCUUGUUGGCGGGGUAACGGCCCACCAAGGCAACGAUCAGUAGGGGUUCUGAGAGGAAGGUCCCCCACAUUGGAACUGAGACACGGUCCAAACUCCUACGGGAGGCAGCAGUGAGGAAUAUGGGUCAAUGGGCGAGAGCCUGAACCAGCCAAGUAGCGUGCAGGAGGACGGCCCUAUGGGUGGUAAACUGCUUUUAUAAGGGAAUAAAGUGGGUCUCGGGAGACUUUUUGCAUGUACCUUAUGAAUAAGGACCGGCUAAUUCCGUG
rnacentral:rRNA from 1 species